rnacentral:rRNA from 1 species
UGGCGGCGUGCCUAAUACAUGCAAGUCGAACGAGAGCGACCGGUGCUUGCACUGGUCAAUCUAGUGGCGAACGGGUGAGUAACACGUGGGUAACCUGCCCAUCAGAGGGGGAUAACAUUCGGAAACGGAUGCUAAAACCGCAUAGGUUCUACAGUCGCAUGACUGAAGAAGGAAAAGAGGCUUCGGCUUCUGCUGAUGGAUGGACCCGCGGUGCAUUAGCUAGUUGGUGAGGUAACGGCUCACCAAGGCCGUGAUGCAUAGCCGACCUGAGAGGGUGAUCGGCCACAUUGGGACUGAGACACGGCCCAAACUCCUACGGGAGGCAGCAGUAGGGAAUCUUCCGCAAUGGACGCAAGUCUGACGGAGCAACGCCGCGUGAGUGAAGAAGGAUUUCGGUUCGUAAAACUCUGUUGUUAGAGAAGAACAGCGCAUAGAGUAAACUGUUAUGCGUGUGAACGGAU